AGUUGUAAGCUGAAUAGCCACCUCCUUUGCUAGUUCUUUUGAAAGUCCCCUAGAAAUAUAGAUUUGAGUUAAUU
rnacentral:tRNA from 1 species